UGGCUACAAUGUAGCUUGCCAUCACCAGUGUGUGAAUGGGUGGAUGACUGGAUGUGUCAAGUGCUUUGGGGUCCUUAGGGACUAGUAAAGCGCUAUACAAAUACAGGCCAUUUACCACUCUCUACUAUGAUGUCCAGAAACCCGUCACACUUACAUGUGAUGCCUCACAGUACCGGCUUGGAGCUGCGUGCCUUCAGGAAGGUGCUCCGAUCACCUACUCCUCUUGUACACAGACUGAGAUCCGCACAGCAAGAAAGAGCUUCUUCCUGUUGUCUUUGCAUGUUCCAAAUUCAAUGAUUAUAUCUGUGGAAAGCAGAUCCAGAUCAAAACUUAUCAUCAGCCAUUAGUCACAAUCCCACAUAUUCUAAAUAAAAUGAUGGUUUCUACAGCCGACCUUUACAUAGAGGAAAUGGAAACUAAAGCUCUUGGCUUUUUCCAAAGGAUAGCACGCAGCCACUGGUACAGAUAUGUGGAUGACACAGUCUGAAUCAAAACCUUUCACCAAACAUGUUAGCUCAGUGGACAGAAACAUACAGUUCACCAAGGAAGAUACAAAGGAUAAUAGUUUGCUGUUUCUGGACUGUGCUGUGCGCACUGAGGAUGGAAACCUCGGCAUUGAAGUUUACUGGAAACCCACACACAGACCAGUACCUUAUUUGACUCCCACCACCAUCUGGAACACAGAUGCGGGGUGAUCAAGGCCCUUGUGUGGAAAUUUUAACACUAACCUGCAACACACCCAAUGAGCAUUUUGAAGAGGGUGUCUGACAUUUGGCCACCGCCCUAACAUCUUUACAUACACAGACAAAGAACAUUCCACAAACUCUUACAUGUUGGGUUUCCGGUUCCACCCUCUCUCGCGAUGGCCGCAUAGAGACACCAGUCCUCCGAUAAAGAAAGCAAUAUAUCCUGCAAAUUGAGAUUCAAAACCUGCUCGAUGGUAAAGACACUCCAAAAGCAGGAUAGCAAUGGAAACAAGGGGAAAAAGCAAGAAAAACCUAACGCAAUUGAACGAAAUGGAUGAUGACUCGCGGGGUCCGCUGGGCAGUGGCUAUGCUAAGGAUAACACGAGGCAGACACCCAGCGAACCCACUAGGGUAAAUAUGGAGAUAAUCUUGCAAGAAAUUCAAGAAUUCCGAAAGGAGAACAACACUCAGCUGGAAGACAUAAAAGGCGAAAUUCAUAAGAGUAACAGGAGAAUCGGAGAGGUGGAAAACCGCAUUGAAGCUGCCGAAACCAGAGUUCAAAUACUGAAACAGGUGUUGAAACACGUCAAAGCUCAAGCUCAACACAAUGAGAAACUCGUGGACCAAGAGGGGAGAGCCAGGAGAGAUAACUUAAGGAUAUAUAAUGUCCCAGAAAAUGAAGAGGGGGAUUUGAUGAUAAGUUUUGUGGAGAAACUCAUCAGAGAAAACCUGGACAUCCCACCGGGCACUGAGGUGCACAUUGAAAGGGCACACAGAGCGCUUGCUCCCAAACCUGCCUCCUCUGAGCGACCCAGAUCGAUAGUGAUCAAAUUUCACCACUACAAAACAAAAGAGGAUAUUCUAAGUAAAGCGUGGAUUAAGAAGGACAUAGUGAUAAAAAAUCUGAGGAUUUAUUUCGACCAUGAUUAUCCAACAGCGGUGCUGAAUAAACGAAAAGAAUACAACGAAGUGAAGUGGGCGCUGAAGGAGAAUAAAAUCCUGUGCCAGACACCGUAUCCGGCCAGGCUCCGGGUUUUCUAUGAGGAGGGGACAAGGUUUUACCACUCAGCUGAAGAGGCCACAAAAGAUCUGAAGGACUGCGGAUUCCCAGUCAAAGUCAUCCCCCAAGCUCCAGGUCUACUGAAGGAAAUCUCCCGAGUAAAAACAAAAAUAAUAUUAGAAAAGGAAGCUGCAGGCAAAAGGUAUGGAUCUGUUUUCCACUCCGUUCCCUCCCCCUCACCCCUUGACCUUGCUAAAGCAUUAUAAGACGACCAAAAUGUUUUUCUCUUUGCUCCCUUUCUGAGUAGAAAAAACCUUUACCUCGGAGGACAUUUCCUUUCUUUUUUCUUUUAUUAACAUGAACAAUUUUUUUCAAUGGACUAAAACACCAUGGAGGGCCCUUCCUUUGCAAAAGUGCAGAGGGGACCUCCCUCCAAUGCCAGACAGUCCAUCUGGCAAGCCAAAGGGACUGUUUAUAAACACCCCUAUUUUGGAAACCACUGUUUGGCAAAUACAUGUUCCCCAAAAGAGUUCUUGUUUCAUUCUCCAAAGUUACUUUCCUUUAGUUAGUAGGGCACUGUUUCCAGAGAGGCUGAAUGUAGCAGAGUCACUGUUUCUUGCUAGAUAUGGUACAUGAAAGACUAAAAAAUUUUUCCUUCAAUGUCAAUGGAAUACUCAACCCUAUCAAACGCUUUAAGAUUUUAUCUAAGAUGAAAAAAGAGAGGGCUGAUAUUGUAUAUUUACAAGAGACGCAUCUAGACAACACAGAACAUAAAAAAAUACAAAGGAUGGGUUUCACUAAGGUGUUUUUCUCAUCACAUAAAUCAAAGCACAAGAGGGGAGUUGCAAUUUUGAUAUCUAACAGUGUUUCUUUUGAAAAAAUGUAUGAAGAGAAAGAUGAGGAAGGUAGAUAUAUUUUGGUCAGGGGAAUGAUAGAAGGAUCUGUUUUCACCCUGAUCAGUGUAUAUAUUCCACCUGGUAGCACUUUUUCUUUUUACAAGAAAAUAAUAGAGUUGAUGAUUACUCAGUCUAAAGGAUUCUUGGUCUGUGGAGGUGAUCUGAAUAUACAUUUAACCCCAAAACUUGAUAUAUCAAAACAAACAGGCUCCAACAAAACAAGUGGUAAAAAAGUGAAAGAGCUGAUGAAGGACAUGGGUUUUAUUGAUAUAUGGAGGGAAAUGGGUCAAAGAGGAUCUUACAAAAUGGAAUCUAUCCCAUGUCUGAGCAUAAGCUCUAGAAUAGAAACCAUCAAAAUUAAUGUUUUACCAAGAUUUCUAUAUCUGUUUCAGACCCUCCCACUCCAGAUUAAUCAAAAAGACUUCAUUGAAUACUAUACUUCAGCAAUGAUUAGGGCCGUGUUGCACUGGUGCGAUCCCUCAUAUAUAGCAGCAUGGAAGGAAAUUGAAAGCAAAACAAUAUCCAAUUUGCAUAUACAGGCAGUCCUAGCGGAUAAAAAUCUACAGGACUACAUUUCCAAAAUAAGAAAUCCCUUGGUAAAGGCCACACUAGGGGUCUGGAAAAUGGUGGUAAAAAAAAAUUAGCUGGAGAAGGAUAUAAAAAUAUUAAAAUGGUGUGCAUACGAUUUGGAAUUUACACCAAAUCAAAUGGACCCUAGUUUUAAAAACUGGAUAGAUAAAGGAAUUACAUCGAUAUGUGGUAUAGUAAAGGAGGAUGAAAUCAUGAGUUUUCAAACUUUAAAGCAAAUGUUUCAUUUAGAAAACCAGGACCACUAUAGAUACCUGCAGUUAAGAAACUUCUACACCCGAAGCAUCAAAAACCAAACACACACUACAGCGAGGCCAACUCUUAUCCAACUCUUUGUAAAUGCUUAUAAGUCAGAAACUAAGAAAGGUAAUCUCACAAAUAUACAAAAGUCUUCAUGAUCUCAGCAAUUAUUCAACAAAGUAUAUAAAAGAAAGAUGGGAGAAAGAGGGAGGUCAGGCAAUUACAGAAGAGGAAUGGCAGAACAUCUGUUCUUUUCAUUGGAAGUACAAAAUCACAUGUAUGGAAGGAAUUCUGCUGGAAAAGUUUCGCUGGUUUUUUCAUCACCCCAGCUAUAAAGGCGCAUUAUGAUGAAGGAAGUUGUGAAUGUUGGAGGAACUAUGGCUACGAAACAGCACACCACUACCAUAUAUUUUUGGGAUUGUAAGAAUAUUAAGAACUAUUGGAGAGAAGUCCAUAAAGUGCUGCAAAACAUAUUUGGUACAUAUUUACCCUUUGAUUUUAAAUCCAUAUUUUUGGGGUACAUACCCUCAGACAUAAAGGGUAUAGAUAAAUACUUACCUGAUGUGAUGCUGGCUGCAAGUAAAAAGGCACUGACUAAAAGAUGGCUGACACAGGAUCCACCAACAUUAAAGAGCUGGAUUGAUGUAACUUUUGAAAUUUACAAGAUGGAAAAGAUUACAUUUUUAGUGAAUUUUGAGUAUGAGAAAUUUGUAAAACACUGGGGAAAAUGGCUCCGCUAUAUGAGUCCUAUAAGGCCAGAUAUCGCUGAUAUUCAUCAUUGAAGGAAUGGUUGGGUAAAUUUUUGUUUGCUUAUUUUGUUUUUGAUAAUAACAUGUACUAAUGCUAUGUCACCAUCUGCUACUGAAAGUGUUGGCUUUUCAGUUGCCCCCUCUCUGGAUGUAUAUAGUUACAUACUAUAUCUGUCUGUACGUAUGUUUCUUUGUUUGUGUGUUUUGUUUUGUUUUCUCUUCUUUUUCUUUAUUUUUUUUCAUACUUAUGUGUAGAAAAAGAACUUGAAGUGAUGGCGGUCAUCCAGACUACUGUAUAUAUGAGUCUAAGAACAAAGGAAGCCAUCAAAUACUGUACAUUUCAUUUUAUUUUUUGCAUAACUUCAAUAAACAACUGAAUUUUAAAAAAAAAACUCUUACAUGUUGGCCCAUCUUGGGGGGGCUUUACCUUCAGCCCCAUCCUUAAAACCUCCCAAUUAUGACCUUGUUUUCUGCUUGGCCGUCACCUAAAGAUUUGCAUCCCUGAUGUAAAAGAAACUCCAACCAGGGAAAAAUGACAAACUGAACAACAUCAUCAUUCCUUGUGUAAAUGCUUUGUCAGAGAAACUCAGGUGAAUUUGAGCAUGAAAUCCCAGUGCACCUCAGACUAAGCCACACCCUCAACCAAAACCGCCAAAAUCAUCUAAGCCACACAGUGUUUGCUGUGCAGUGCAUCAAGAAGUGCUCAGACCUCUACACUGGAAAAAUCAAAGGUCAAAAGUCACUCUUUCAAAGAUGAAGCAUGCAAGGUUUGAAAGAGGAGUAAAAGAUCUACGUCCACUAUGAACGCCCAUCAUUGAAAAGAAGGGGUGGUCUACAGCACCAUCUAUCAGCCACAUAUGGUGUAGUCUCAAUGCAGUCUAAAGAUUCCUUCUCAGGCAUUUCAACCUCCACUCAAACCUUGACGCCUACCACCAGACCUCAAUAGUUCACAUGAUUGGGUGGGGCAAGGUUUCACAAUGGUUUCAACUGUAACUUGCAGCAAUGGUAAUGACCCACACCUUCUUUUCAUUGGCUCAUGUGAUGACUUACCUGACUUAACCUUCACCUGGGGUUACAUACCGGGGUUUUAGAAAUGAAGAAGCCUCUUGGAUGAGAGGUGAAAGAAAUCCAGCUGGUAUGUUCAAGCUCUGUAGAUUACAUGAUCUUGAUGACUGAGAUGCUACACAGACAUAUUUCUGUAGCCUUUCUUCCCGUUCAUGCUGGAGAUCAAACAAAUCCAAUGCUGCCCUCAUGUUUAAAACAUCAGUUUUGAGAGAAGCGUAAUUUUCAUUACAUGGCCUGCCAGCCUUUAGUGUGAUUGAUUAGUGAAAAUGAUUAUAGAUCUCAGUUAAAAUAAGUGGCUCCAAGAUAUUCAUGGUGGAUGCUUAUGACUCUCUGAGUAUGAUCAAAUAAGUAGACUCAAAAUAAUUACUCUUUGACAGUUGAAGUUGAGAAUGCUAACAAUAUUUUCUGACUGAAUUCCCAAUCAGAAAAGACUGGUACUGCUUUACAUUCCUUCUGAGCUAUUUUUCAAAGGUAGCGAGAUACAUACACAAUAUAACACCAGUGAGAAUUGGAACUCCAGGUCUCACCUGGCCCAGCGAGUCGAUUCAGCACUGCCUUAAUGCAGCUAAGUGAAAGCUGCAAACCAUUCCUUAUUAUUGCCAUUGUAGACGGGUAUUUAUAAGGUCUAGCAUUUUUCUUUGAGUACUUUAACUGAAUACUCAAAAAACGUUUUAAUAAGCACACACUUGCAGCGCUUCAGUCUAUGACAAACUGUCGUGCACGCCAUUCUAUAUUGAGGCUUGUGUCUUUGAGCUCAGGUACUUUGUCACAUUUUAACAAACCAGGUGAAAUAAUCUUUGGUGUAAAGGCCACUGCAUCAGAGCAACACUUUGACAGAUGAGGGAGAAUAACAAGCAAGCAAAGCACGUCCCAGGUGGUGGCGGGCAUGAGAGUUGGGAUAGAGUCCCAGCUAAUAUUGUUAUUAUCAAACUUUAAUUUUUGUCUUUCACCUUCCAUCUUUAAAAUAUGUUUAUGAUCUUUGUUUUGCAGCAGUUUCUUAAACGACUGUACAUUUAUACUGCAUUUUAAUAAAAGCUCAUUCUUCCUACUUCCUUUUAUGUAGUUACGGCAGAGUCUAUGCAACCGCAGACCCCUAUCACCACACGAUUGGUCCUGCAGCCACAUACAGUGUGGGCACUAUGUAAAUAAACGAAACAGUGAGUACAGAUGGACACCUGCUAAAAAAAGAGAGAAGAUCACCGUGGACACAGAAGGACACUAACAGAGAUCAACUAAAAGAAAAAAAUGGCCUUCUGUCAAGAAUUAAAGGGAUGGACAAAAGGCCUGCUUUGUAAGGCCAGGACCUGGACCACUGAGUCUGUAGCCUGGGAGCAGAGAGGAGCCUACCAGCUCUAACUCCUGAAAAACAAGCCUUGCUGAGUGUUAGAGACCAAAUAGGAAGGUCACUAUAAAACAUUUUUAUUUUUGUAAACUUUUUUAAGUUUAUGGCUUCUGAAAAGAUCAAACAUCACUCUGUGUAUAUACAUAUUAGAUACCAUAUGUGUGUAUUAUAUAAGUAUGUUUAAAAAACAGAAACUGUGUGUGCAGUUCAAAGGUAAGAUGAGGAGAUGCCAGCUCCCCGUGAUUUCUGAAGGUCAGCCACCACGCCCCACAUGCCUUCUGCUGGAUGAGGUGGGGAUGUGUGUGUGUGUGUGUGUGUGUGUGUGUGUGUGUGUGUGUGCGCGCGCGCAUGUGUGUAGGUGUGUGGGGCAGCUGGUCCAGCAGGCCUGUCACUACAUAAUGAGAUUAAAGCUUUUUGAGCCUGUCUUCCACUAAUAACGUCUGUAUCAGUCAGAAAAUCUGCCUUUUAAAUCCAAAAGUACACACAGAUAAGAAAGAAGGGUUAGGGUUUACUCUACAAGCUCAACUCAAGUUACAGAGAGGUGGGAACAUUAAUAACAGGCUGCCUGAUGUCACCACAGUCUGGUGGUUUUACUGUGCCGUGUAGUAAAAACAGCUCUUGUGCAUUGUGUUGGCAUAGGCAGGGUAGGACUGGGGGGACAGAGAGUGGGUAAAAAAUGAAAAGUGGAAAUGAUGAUCUGCUACAACACAGCCUUCAGCUUCCACCACUAAGAAAGGAAUAAGAGAGUUAAAGCAAUUCAAAGUUACACAAUGACAGCAAGUCUGUGUAAACCCAUCUGUUCCUAUGGAUUCCUACUGACAUCCUUCUAUAUUUACACAUUGUACUAAUAACAUGCUGUCAGCCAUGAUGCAGAGUCAGCUGUUGCCAUCUACUAUUGUUGUAGUCAUUGUACUAGCAGUAAGAAGAAAGUAUUUAUAUAUAAAUAUACCCAUUUGUGAUCUCCACCUGGACAUACGUUUGAUUUUUCAGCUUUGACGCAGGACUUGGUGUAAGUGUAAUGAUGUGUCGUUCUUUCAUGUCAUUUCGUUUCUCUUUUGUUCAGCUACUGAAUGUAACUUAAACUUUUUAGGCAGAUGGUGUUUUUUAUGUGCUUCAAAAGAACAAACAGUAUUCUGUAUAUUUAUUACACGUGUAAAUUAUAUAGUAACAUGUUUGUGAUAAUAUGCUGGACCUCCUCCUCACGAUCACGUCAUGUCCAAAAGGAAAUAAUAAGAAGUGAACAGACAUGUCCUGCUGUAGAGUGAAGUACUACAGAGAGUUUUAGUUGUUUGGUUUGUUUGUCUUUGUGUAGCUGAAUCGUAGUGUCAUCGUGGUGCUGAGGGUAAUGCUGUGGUGAGGAACAGGACAACAAAGAAAACACGAGACCAGUCUGAGGUGGGGAAACAUGUAGGAGUGUGUCCUGUUGGAAAUGGAGACGCUCUGCUGCAGGACGCUAACAUGCACUUGUUUGAUUUGUGGGUCGUACUAAGCAUGUGAUGGUGUUUUACCACAUUUAUGGAUACGAUGACAUUGAAACCUUUACAUCUUUAUUUUAAUUCAGAGGAGGAUUCGAGUCUCACUGCACUAUUACUUCACUGCAUAGCACUUGGUAAUGUAUGUAACAUGGUUUAUAAGACUAAGCGAUCCCACGGACAGUACAUCAGUUUAUAAAGUGAUGGAGGUGUUACAUGGAAACAACUGAAAGGCCACAGUAAUCUAGCUCAGUGUAACAGAACGAAGGCAACCCAAGCUCAUGCUGAGUUUGAACGAUUGGCUCUUUGUCUGUCCUGAUUUAUUUAAAACCUGUCAGUAAAUAGUUAAAUGCAUCCUUUUUGGACCAAUUCUGUCUAUUUAAGCUGAUCACUCACUGGCCUUGGAGUGCCUUUAGUUCUGUGACUCAGUUCUUAUGACCAUUGUGAUAUCAUGUCUCCAUCAUGUUGAUGACCAGAGAUCCAGAUUUUACUUCCUUUCCUGUUUUUCUGGUGUUUCAGUGAGGCAGAUGUUUGUGUGACAGGAUCCACUGUUACCACUGUGUUUCUUUCUCCUUCAUGCGUCACAGUGAAA